GCUGGACAUGGUAGUGCAUGCCUGUAAUCCCAGAGGCUAAGGAGGCUGAGACAGGAGGAUCACUAGUUCAAAGCCAGCCUCAGCAAGGGUGAGGCACCUACAUAACUCAGUGAGACUGUGUCUCUA
rnacentral:sRNA from 1 species